rnacentral:rRNA from 1 species
GACGAACGCUGGCGGCGUGCCUAAUACAUGCAAGUAGAACGCUGAAGAGAGGAGCUUGCUCUUCUUGGAUGAGUUGCGAACGGGUGAGUAACGCGUAGGUAACCUGCCUGGUAGCGGGGGAUAACUAUUGGAAACGAUAGCUAAUACCGCAUAAAAUGGAUUAUCGCAUGAUAAUCCAUUGAAAGGUGCAAAUGCAUCACUACCAGAUGGACCUGCGUUGUAUUAGCUAGUGGGUGGGGUAACGGCUCACCAAGGCGACGAUACAUAGCCGACCUGGGAGGGUGAUCGGCCACACUGGGACUGAGACACGGCCCAGACUCCUACGGGAGGCAGCAGUAGGGAAUCUUCGGCAAUGGACGGAAGUCUGACCGAGCAACGCCGCGUGAGUGAAGAAGGUUUUCGGAUCGUAAAGCUCUGUUGUAAGAGAAGAACGAGUGUGAGAGUGGAAAGUUCACACUGUGACGGUAUCUUACCAGAAAGGGACGGCUAACUACGUG